UGGGGAAUAUUGCACAAUGGGCGCAAGCCUGAUGCAGCCAUGCCGCGUGUAUGAAGAAGGCCUUCGGGUUGUAAAGUACUUUCAGUCGGGAGGAAGGUGGUAAGGUUAAUAACCUUAUCAAUUGACGUUACCGACAGAAGAAGCACCGGCUAACUCCGUGCCAGCAGCCGCGGUAAUACGGAGGGUGCAAGCGUUAAUCGGAAUUACUGGGCGUAAAGCGCACGCAGGCGGUUGAUUGAGUCAGAUGUGAAAUCCCCGGGCUUAACCCGGGAAUUGCAUCUGAUACUGGUCAGCUAGAGUCUUGUAGAGGGGGGUAGAAUUCCAUGUGUAGGGGUGAAAUGCGUAGAGAUGUGGAGGAAUACCGGUGGCGAAGGCGGCCCCCUGGACAAAGACUGACGCUCAGGUGCGAAAGCGUGGGGAGCAAACAGG
rnacentral:rRNA from 1 species